rnacentral:misc_RNA from 1 species
CGAUUCAACAUUCGCUUAAUCUUAAAAAUGAACAAACACCGAGACUUGUGUAACGGUCUCGUUAGCGGUUAUUCCCAAAAGUAAAAUAAUCGCUGCCUAACAGUUGCCUUUAAGUUUGCCAAAUUUAUCUUCGUAAGCGACACGGUGUUCUCCGGUCGGGUCGAAACGAUCGAGGAAUUCUUUGAAGCUCUCCGGUUGUUCGGCGCAGAUUUUUUCGAGAAUAUCCUUCAUCUUGUCUUUCUGUUUAUCCGAGCAUUUCGCGCAUCGUGUCGAAAGCGCUUCUGGUAUAACUCCUGCAAAUUCGACGGCUUCCUGGGGACACCCAGUCACCCUUUUUCCCAAUAUACAUUCUUUAUAAUUGAGGAAUAGUCUGGAGUUACGGAAGAUGGGCGUUACGUCGAGGUUGUCCCAUUUGUCGGUGUAGGUUUUUUGGUCCGCGACAACCGCUGCGAUCAGGGCAAUCAGGAUACUUGCGCUGUACCACUUCAUAUCGGUAUCGAUCGAAUAAUCUAUUUAUUCGUAUUCGAAACUCGAAUUUUCACCCGACUCGAGAACUAUUUACGAAAAUGGGAGAUUACAAUGAACGAACGCUGCUUGUGUGAAGCUGAAUUUCAGACUGACUAUGCAACAAAAUUCAACUGCAUUUAUA